rnacentral:rRNA from 1 species
GAUGAACGCUCGCGGCAGGCCUAAUACAUGCAAGUCGAACGGGCGGUAGCAAUACCGCUAGUGGCGCACGGGUGCGUAACGCGUAACCAACCUGCCCAGAUCUGGGGGAUAGCCCGCCGAAAGGCGGAUUAAUACCGCAUAAACCCACAGUGUGGCAUCACAUAAUGGGUAAAGAUUUAUCGGAUCUGGAUGGGGUUGCGUAGCAUUAGCUAGUUGGCGGGGUAAUGGCCCACCAAGGCGACGAUGCUUAGGGGACCUGAGAGGGUGAUCCCCCACACUGGCACUGGGAUACGGGCCAGACUCCUACGGCAGGCAGCAGUAGGGAAUAUUGGGCAAUGGGCGAGAGCCUGACCCAGCCAUGCCGCGUGCCGGAUGAAGGCCUUCUGGGUUGUAAACGGCUUUUCUCAGGGAAGAAAACGGGGAUGCGUCCUCAACUGACGGUACCUGAGGAAUAAGCACCGGCUAACUCCGUG